GGCAACUUGCCAGAGUGGUUAAUGGGUGAGACUCGAAAUCUCAUGGCUUCGGUCGCGUAGGGUAAGUUAUGACAGAAUAAUCUCUCAGAAAAUCCAUACACAUGCUAACAGAAAUCAUCACAGUUCGAAUCCUGCAGUUGUCG